GGAGACGUGGGUGAGGGGCUGAAACCAGCUCCCUGCUAAGGAGCCAUACCUCUAUCGGGGUAUCGAGGGUUCGAAUCCCUCCGUCUCCGCCA
rnacentral:tRNA from 1 species